UAACAAACUGUCUGUCUGCUCGUCUGUCUGUCUCUCAGGUGGAGCUGCUUCACAGUCUGGUCUAUCAAACUUUGGAGUACAUCAAUGACAAGAACAAGAAGAGGAACAAACAGACGGUGUCUGAGGAGGACGGAGGAGACGGAGCGGGCGUAGACGACGACGACGCUGAUCUCGCUUUCACUCCGUUAGACCUCGACACCUCCGAAGACUCACAGCAGACCGACUGCACCACGUUGUCCAGUGUCGCUCCUCUCCAUCCAGAGUCUCUGAUUCCUCCUGAAACUACAGAGAAGAACAAACUUCCUCUCAUCAGGUUUGUUCAUAUUUUGAUAUUUUGAUUCAUUAG